ensembl:lncRNA
CUGAAAUAAGGAUUGAAUAACUGUUGCACCUGAAGAGAUGUCCCCAGAGACUUGACCAGGUCUCUGAGCUACCUGAUAAUAUCCAAAUAGUCUGACCACCUUUGUAUGUGUGAUACAAGACAGACUCUGCCCUUUGUGAUGUCAUUUUAAAUUAGAUUGGAUUUCCAACAUGAGAAUAUUUUAUCUUGAGUAAAACUCAUCUUGCAUUUAAUAGCACCCAAAAAGAUGUUCUCUUCUUUUACUAAAGGAGACUGAAUCCUAAAGAGAUGAAUGGGCCUUUGUGUACUUCUCUCUGCUUUGAGAACCAUACAAUUGAGAAUUUAGUCCAUAUUUUCAUGCUGCAGAGACCAAGAUGACUACUGAGCCCUGUUCCUCUGGAAGCUGCACCUUCCUGUGGGCUCUGCACCCUUUCUGAACCUGCUGGCGAUGUUAUCUCCUCUGUCACCAGAACUGUUGUCCUUUCAUCAGCUGCACCAGGAUCUGUAACAUCAGGAUCUGCUAUUAUGCAGAAAACCAGCUUGUGGCCUAUAGACAUGAGCAGCUCAGGCCUCCUUUUGGAUACUGAAGGGCUGCUCUAGGUCUCCCUGGAAUCUUCUCAUCUUCAGGCUGAACAGCCCCAGCUUCCUCAGCCUAGUGUUGUAUGGAGGUGUUCCAUCUGUUGGAUAACUUUUGUGGCCCUCCUCUGGAUGCCCUCCAACAGGUCUAUGUCUCUUCUGUACUGAGGACUCCACAUCUGUAUGCAGUACUCCAGGUGAGACAUCACCAGCACAGAGCAGAGGAUCACCUUCCUGACCUGCUGACCAUGAUUUUGAUGCAGCCCAGGUUAUGUAUGGUUUUCUGGGCAGUGAGGGCACAUUGCUGACUCAUGUUCAGUUUGCCAUUCACCAGCACCCACAAGUCCUUUUUGGCAGGGCUGUGCUCCAUCCUUCUGCUCUAUCCCAACUUGUAUUGAUACUGUCCUCGCACUUGACUUUGUUGAUGCUCAUGGGUUUCACCCAUGCCCACUGCUCGAGCCUGUCUAGAUCUCUCUGAAUGGCUUCCUGUCCAUCAGGUAUGUCAGCAGCACUACAAAGCUUGUUGUCAUCCACAAAGUUGCUGAGGGUGCCCUUGAACCCACUGUUAGUGUCAUUGAUGAAGAUAUUAAAGAGUAUUCAUCCCAGUACUGACUACUGAUCCCUCAGGGACACCACUCAUCAUCAAUCUGCAUCUGGACAAUGAGCCACUGAUCACCACUCUCUGGGUAUGGUCUCAUAAACUGAACAGUCC